UACGAGGGGUGCAAGCGUUGCUCGGAAUUAUUGGGCGUAAAGGGUAGGUAGGUGGUCUCAUUUGUCUGGGGUGAAAGCCUUGAGCUCAACUCAAGAAGUGCCCCGGAAACGGUGAGACUGGAGUCUCGGAGAGGGUCGUGGAAUUCCCGGUGUAGCGGUGAAAUGCGUAGAGAUCGGGAGGAACACCAGAGGCGAAGGCGGCGACCUGGACGAGUACUGACACUCAACUACGAAAGCGUGGGGAGCAAACAGG
rnacentral:rRNA from 1 species